rnacentral:rRNA from 1 species
UACGUAGGGUGCGAGCGUUAAUCGGAAUUACUGGGCGUAAAGCGUGCGCAGGCGGUUUUGUAAGCCAGAUGUGAAAUCCCCCGGGCUUAACCUGGGGAAUGGCAUUUUGGGACUGCAAGGCUGGAGUACGGCAGAGGAGACUGGAAUUCCUGGUGUAGCAGUGAAAUGCGUAGAGAUCAGGAGGAAUACCGAUGGCGAAGGCAGGUCUCUGGGCUGAUACUGACGCUCAUGCACGAAAGGCGUGGGGGAGCAAACAGGAUUAACGAA